GAAAUGCGAUAAGUAGUGUGAAUUGCAGAAUUCAGUGAAUCAUCGAAUCUUUGAACGCACAUUGCGCCCCUUGGUAUUCCAUGGGGCAUGCCUGUUCGAGCGUCAUUUGUACCCUCAAGCUCUGCUUGGUGUUGGGUGUUUGUCCCGUCUCCGCGCGUGGACUCGCCCCAAAGUGAUUGGCAGCCGGCGUACUGGUCCCGGAGCGCAGCACAUGUCGCGCAAACGAGUGCCUUGGUACGGCGGCGUCCAUAAGCCCCUCUCUCACGCUUUUGACCUCGGAUCAGGUAGGGAUACCCGCUGAACUUAAGC
rnacentral:misc_RNA from 1 species